rnacentral:rRNA from 1 species
GCAUGGCUGUCGUCAGCUCGUGUCGUGAGAUGUUGGGUUAAGUCCCGCAACGAGCGCAACCCUCGUCCUCUGUUGCCAUCAGGUCAAGCUGGGCACUCUGAGGAGACUGCCGGUGAUAAACCGGAGGAAGGUGGGGAUGACGUCAAGUCAGCAUGGCCUUUAUGUCCAGGGCCACACACGUGCUACAAUGGCGGAUAAAGGGCUGCAAUCCCGCGAGGGGGAGCCAAUCGCAUAAACCGAAUCUCAGUUCGGAUUGUAGGCUGCAACUCGCCUACAUGAAGUCGGAAUCGC